rnacentral:rRNA from 1 species
UGGGGAAUAUUGGACAAUGGGCGAAAGCCUGAUCCAGCCAUGCCGCGUGAGUGAAGAAGGCCCUCGGGUUGUAAAGCUCUUUUGUUGGGAAAGAAAAGCCAUGGGUUAAUACCCUGUGGUUCUGACGGUACCCAAAGAAUAAGCACCGGCUAACUUCGUGCCAGCAGCCGCGGUAAUACGAAGGGUGCAAGCGUUACUCGGAAUUACUGGGCGUAAAGCGUGCGUAGGUGGUUCGUUAAGUCUGAUGUGAAAGCCCUGGGCUCAACCUGGGAAUUGCAUUGGAUACUGGCGGGCUGGAGUACGGUAGAGGGUGGCGGAAUUCCUGGUGUAGCAGUGAAAUGCGUAGAUAUCAGGAGGAACAUCCGUGGCGAAGGCGGCCACCUGGACCAGUACUGACACUGAGGCACGAAAGCGUGGGGAGCAAACAGG